UACAGAGGGGCAAGCGUUGUUCGGAAUUACUGGGCGUAAAGGGCGCGUAGGCGGCCUGCUAAGUCGAACGUGAAAUCCCUGGGCUCAACCCAGGAACUGCGUCCGAUACUGGUUGGCUUGAAUCCGGGAGAGGGAUGUGGAAUUCCAGGUGUAGCGGUGAAAUGACGUAGAUAUCUGGAGGAACACCGGUGGCGAAGGCGACAUCCUGGACCGGUAUUGACGCUGAGGCGCGGAAAGCUAAGGGGAGCAAAGCGG
rnacentral:rRNA from 1 species